rnacentral:rRNA from 1 species
CGCCUGCCCAGUGAUAAAAUUAAACGGCCGCGGUAUUUUGACCGUGCAAAGGUAGCGCAAUAAAUUGUCCCUUAAUUAGGGACUAGUAUGAAUGGCAUCACGAGAGCUUAGCUGUCUCCCCUUUAAAGUCAAUGAAAUUGAUCUCCCCGUGCAGAAGCGGGGAUAUAAACGUAAGACGAGAAGACCCUAUGGAGCUUUAGAUAUAAAGCAACUCAUGUCAAACACCCCUAAAGGAAAUGAACAGAAUGAGCCUUGCCAGUAUGUCUUCGGUUGGGGCGACCACGGGGAAAAACAAAACCCCCACAUGGACGGGCCACUCAGCCCUAAAAUAUAGACCCACAGGUUAAAUCAACAGAACUUCUGACCACUAAGACCCGGCUUUUGCCGAUUAAUGGACCUAGUUACCCUAGGGAUAACAGCGCAAUCCUCUCCAAGAGCUCUUAUCGACGAGGGGGUUUACGACCUCGAUGUUGGAUCAGGACAUCCUAUUGGUGCAGCCGCUAUUGAGGGUU